rnacentral:lncRNA from 1 species
AUUUUUUAGGAUGAAUACUCAAAAUCAAUGUUGUCUAAAAAAGCUGAUUAAUGGGUAUCUUAAAUGUGUAUUUUUUUACAUAAAAAAUAAGAGUAAGGUAAAACGACUGAAAAAUGUCUCAUAAUUCUGUAAAAGCAUAUGAAAAUUAAAAAUGUAAGUUGAUAACCCCAUCUUUGUUAGUUGGUUGUACCAUAUUAAUCUUACCAAAUUUUAAAAGAUACUACAAAAAAACCAAUUUAACAGCUUCUCAUUGUAGAUACUUCUUCACUUUUAACAUAUCCCGCUUGACGCUUGAAUAUCUGAUCUUUCUUAGAAAUUACCAAAAUAAACGAGGCGAUUAACAGAAAAGAAAAUCCCCCCCCCCCAAAAAAAAAGAAGAAAAAUGUGCAAAAAAAAAAAAGACUAAAAAAAUGGGGUGUUAAAACGUACAAUUUUCUUAUAUUUAAAAAUUAAGAAUAAGGUAAAACGAGUGAAAUAUUGAAUUGGUCGUAAUCGUAAUUGGUCAAUUGAUGUACGUAAGCAUUGCAAUUUCUGUACAUCCAUAACCAUCAGUAUUUUGCUAAAAAUCAUGAUCUUACAUCAGGAGUUAACAAAUCUUGACGUAUCAUUUCGUCCACUAUUACAGAUAAAGUCAACCUAACAUCCUUCUCCUGCAUUGUGUCAGAAAUUACCAUAAUAAAACAGUUCGUGUCAGAGAUCAUACCAAUAUGAUCAUUGACAAAAACGUUGCAAUAGUGGAAAACAAAUUGAAAACAACAAAUCAGAAAUAUGACAAAGAGACGAAGGUCAACUUUGUCAGAGUUGAAAUCUCAGUUUCUUUAGAUUUUUCAAAAUUUAUUAAUGAAC